AGUUAUUUUACCGAGUUUUGUUUAAUCCAUAUGAGGCCUAACGCAAGACCUUACAUAGGGUAGAUUGUGUCCAUACAUUGUUAUAGUAUAAGGUUCAAGCUAUGGAACAACGCUUACCUCUUCAGGCAUAGUUUCACCAGCUAUUUUACAUAAACUUAAGCAUUAUAGAAAUGGCUACCCAGUGUACACAAAUUCCUUCGAAUGAUUCUUUGUCAGAAGCUUUCUCCAACUUGACUGUUUCUGUCAGAAACGUAGAAAGAAAGUUAAGGUAAGGAAUGGUAUUUUUUUACUACA